rnacentral:tRNA from 1 species
CGCGCGGUGUAAUUCCAUUGAUUUUUGGAUUUCGAUCGCCGGGUUCGAGUCCCGGGCAACCCAUAUAGAAA